GCCAGAUUUGAGCCUGGGAGCUCUCUGGC
rnacentral:misc_RNA from 1 species